rnacentral:rRNA from 1 species
AGUGAACGCUGGCGGCAGGCCUAAUACAUGCAAGUCGAACGGCAGCACAGCAGAGCUUGCUCUGUGGGUGGCGAGUGGCGGACGGGUGAGGAAUACAUGGGAAUCUGCCCAGUCGUGGGGGAUAACGUAGGGAAACUUACGCUAAUACCGCAUGCGCCCUUCGGGGGAAAGCCGGGGACCUUCGGGCCUGGCGCGAUUGGAUGAGCCCAUGUCGGAUUAGCUAGUUGGCGGGGUAAAAGCCCACCAAGGCGACGAUCCGUAGCUGGUCUGGGAGGAUGAUCAGCCACACUGGAACUGAGACACGGUCCAGACUCCUACGGGAGGCAGCAGUAGGGAAUAGUGGACAAUGGGCGCAAGCCUGAUCCAGCCAUGCCGCGUGAGUGAAGAAGGCCCUCGGGUUGUAAAGCUCUUUUGUCCGGAAAGAAAAGCAUCCAGUUAAUACCUGGGUGUCCUGACGGUACCGAAGAAUAAGCACCGGCUAACUUCGUGCCAGCAGCCGCAGUAAAAC